CCCUGCAAUAACAUGUUGUAAUUUUUUUCGCUGCAACGUUGAUUCAGACCAAACAUUUCAUCUCAAACCUCAAAACCAAUUUCGAAAUACAUAUCCCGCGCUCAGUACUCCCUUCUUCUUCCCUCAACUUUCCCUGCGUCUCGCCCGUCGCCGGUGAUUCUCGCCAGUUGUCAUCGCCGCUGGGUCUUGCCCGUUGUCGGUGGUACUCCAGCAAGGGUCUAUUUCCUCGCCUCCUCACCAGUGGUUCCCUGCUCGAUAAACCACCGCAGAAGUUAUUCCCUGCUCGAAAAACCACCGGUGAAGUCAUUUCCUGCUCGAAAAACUAAGCUACUUUGCUCGGCCGGUUCGUGAACCCUGUUCUCCGUCAAUCCUUGCCGCAACAAUUAAAUCUCCAAAAUUUUCGCUUUUUUGGAAGUUCGGUGAUUCCAAGUCCUGUGGUAAAGGUGUUGAUGUAUUGAGAUCAAGGAGACUACUUUGCCACUUGUUGCCUUGGAAAAGAGCUACUUAUUGGAGGUUUGUCUGGCAGAAAACAUAUGCUAUAUCAAUUGAGUUUGAUGUCAAUAUUUUUGCUUGUUGGUGCAAUGGUCUGACAGAAAUUAUCUGGGAAUAUUUUUAGUCGAAAACCAUUUUCUUCAAGAAAGAGGGGUGUUGUGUAUGUAAGGUCGGGUCGUGGUUUUUCUUUAAGAAGAUCAAAGGUCGUAAGUCUCUCUUGAACCAGUUUAAAAUGGUCCGAGUCCAUGGAAAAGCGUUCAAAGAAGUUUGAAGAGGUUAGUUAUGUAUUUAUUUCAAUGUAAUUUCUACAAAUGAGAUUGUUUUCUUGUGGCUCUUCACUAAUAUAUGGGUGCACCAUGCAGCUUGUAAAUAGGUAACUUCAUCCUCACCUGUAGCAUAUUUGGUGGAAAGACAAAGAAAUAACAAGGCUGGUGGGAUAUUAAGAGAAUUGAAUAGAUAAGAAUAGUCUAAGGGCAAAACAAUUUCUAAAAUGUUAGACAGUCAGGAA